AAGCAGUGGUAGAUUAACCACAGAUCUCAUUGACCCGUGGGUCUAUAGCCUGGCUGGCAGGGCAACCAUUGCCAAUAUAACUUAUUUCCACAGAGGUACUUGCCUCUCCAUUCCAACACUGGCUAUGAUUCAAGAAGGGAACUGGCUCUUCUCCACAGUAUCCAGGAAUGCAAGAUCUUCGCUUUACUUUGAUUCAGCCUUAGUAAAGAGUGUUUCCCCAAUUUCUUCUGAGUCUGCAAUGAAGUAACUCUGAUGCUAGCAGUUCAUGUCGAGGUCCCCAUGUCUCAGCUGACCACUGACAAAUAUAUAGCUGGAAUCACGUGUGUUACCAUUGUUAAAAGAAGUAUGAAUUAUAAGAAUGUGUUGAGACUUUACUGAAUGCUUGUCAGU